rnacentral:tRNA from 1 species
UCCCUUGUAGCUCAGUUGGUAAAGAAUCUGCCUGCAAUGCAGGAGACCCAGGUUCGAUCCCUGGGUCAGGAA